rnacentral:rRNA from 1 species
AAUGGGUCAGCGACUUAUAUUCUGUAGCAAGGUUAACCGAAUAGGGGAGCCGAAGGGAAACCGAGUCUUAACUGGGCGUUAAGUUGCAGGGUAUAGACCCGAAACCCGGUGAUCUAGCCAUGGGCAGGUUGAAGGUUGGGUAACACUAACUGGAGGACCGAACCGACUAAUGUUGAAAAAUUAGCGGAUGACUUGUGGCUGGGGGUGAAAGGCCAAUCAAACCGGGAGAUAGCUGGUUCUCCCCGAAAGCUAUUUAGGUAGCGCCUCGUGAAUUCAUCUCCGGGGGUAGAGCACUGUUUCGGCAAGGGGGUCAUCCCGACUUACCAACCCGAUGCAAACUGCGAAUACCGGAGAAUGUUAUCACGGGAGACACACGGCGGGUGCUAACGUCCGUCGUGAAGAGGGAAACAACCCAGACCGCCAGCUAAGGUCCCAAAGUCAUGGUUAAGUGGGAAACGAUGUGGGAAGGCCCAGACAGCCAGGAUGUUGGCUUAGAAGCAGCCAUCAUUUAAAGAAAGCGUAAUAGCUCACUGGUCGAGUCGGCCUGCGCGGAAGAUGUAACGGGGCUAAACCAUGCACCGAAGCUGCGGCAGCGACACUAUGUGUUGUUGGGUAGGGGAGCGUUCUGUAAGCCUGUGAAGGUGUACUGUGAGGUAUGCUGGAGGUAUCAGAAGUGCGAAUGCUGACAUAAGUAACGAUAAAGCGGGUGAAAAGCCCGCUCGCCGGAAGACCAAGGGUUCCUGUCCAACGUUAAUCGGGGCAGGGUGAGUCGACCCCUAAGGCGAGGCCGAAAGGCGUAGUCGAUGGGAAACAGGUUAAUAUUCCUGUACUUGGUGUUACUGCGAAGGGGGGACGGAGAAGGCUAUGUUGGCCGGGCGACGGUUGUCCCGGUUUAAGCGUGUAGGCUGGUUUUCCAGGCAAAUCCGGAAAAUCAAGGCUGAGGCGUGAUGACGAGGCACUACGGUGCUGAAGCAACAAAUGCCCUGCUUCCAGGAAAAGCCUCUAAGCAUCAGGUAACAUCAAAUCGUACCCCAAACCGACACAGGUGGUCAGGUAGAGAAUACCAAGGCGCUUGAGAGAACUCGGGUGAAGGAACUAGGCAAAAUGGUGCCGUAACUUCGGGAGAAGGCACGCUGAUAUGUAGGUGAAGUCCCUCGCGGAUGGAGCUGAAAUCAGUCGAAGAUACCAGCUGGCUGCAACU